CGCGGGAUUUUUUUCCACUGGAGUACUCAAGUGAAGGAUGCGUGCACAACUAUCAUCAUGCUGUUAGGCAGUAGCCCCUCCCUCUAUAACUGUUCUGUCUCGCGGAGGAGCUAAUUUGUGUGCAUCUGUGUGAAACACGCAUAGGAAAAAAAGAACCACAGAAAGAACGGCUCCCCCCCCAGCCGCGACUCGGCUCCCAUCGUUCAUGUUUAUGAGCCGUUCAAAAGAAUCGGUUCGUUCGCGAAAGUCACAACUCUACGCCCAACUCGGAAACUCUUGGCCGUUGACGUCCAAUUUCCGAUUAGGAAACUCAUAUUUAAGAUAAUUCCGAUGGCAAGUGAAGGCAGCAUAAUUCUAUCAAACACAGCCGUUGACAUGAUGGGAAGCUCUUUUGUGCUCACUCUGUGUGUUUUGCUCAUUCAAGGUGUUUUGGGUGAUGCGGUGACAGUGUCAGUGAUGGAGGGAGAUAAAGUCACUCUACACACUGAUAUCACCAAAACAGUACAUGACAAGAUACUGUGGUACUUUGAAGACACUCGCAUCGCUCUGAUCAAUGGACAUCCCAAUACGAGCUGUUUAUAUGAUGGUGAAGACGGAGAUUCAGAGACAGACUGAAGGUGGACUAUAAGACUGGAUCUCUGAUCAUCACAAACAUCACAACUGAACAUGCUGGACGUUAUGAAGCAGAGAUCAUCAGAAGUGAAAGUUCAGGAAAAAGGCAAAGUUUGAACAGAAACCGCAAAUGUGACAGCACAAAAAUCACCAAAAAAAUCAGCAUCGGUCAUGAUGAUACCAUAAAAACUUUCAAUAUGAUCCUCAUUGCUGCUCUGUCUGAUCAAGUCAAAAUCGAUGAAGAGCCCCGCACGGAGAAGAGGGAGUUUGACUUGAAUUCAGGUCUGUCUUCAGCUGCUGUGGCAGGAAUAUGUGCUGCUGUUCUGCUGCUGACUGUUGUAGCUGCUGCUGGUGUGAUUUCCCACAGGAGCUCCAGAAAUGCAGACAGGGACAAAAACAAGUAUGAAGGACUACUGCCCAAAUGAGAAGGAGAAAGACAGUCCCAAAAGUGUGAUUAUAAAAUAAUAAUAAGAAAAAAUGCUGCAGAAAUAAAAUCUUUGUUUUAUUUACAACUUUGAAAAAUAUUCCCACUGGUUUUGGCUUUUUGAAUUUGAAGAUCAGGAUAAAUUGAACUUAUUUUGUCUUCUGUGAAACAUGCAAGUAUAUCUUCUGUAGCCUUUGAAGGGCAGAGCUAAAUGGAAAAAAAAAGAAAGAAGAUAUUUAGGCAUAAUAAGAAAAAUGUACAUAUCUUCAUUCUGUUCAAAAGUUUUCACACCCUGGCUCUUAAUGCAUUGUGUUUUCUUCUGGAGCAUCAGUGAGCGUUUGAACCUUCUGUAAUAGUUACAUACGAGUCCCUCAGUUGUCCUCAGUGUGAAAAGAUGGAUCUCAAAAUCAUACAGUGAUUGUUGGAAAGGGUUCAAAUACACAAAAAUGCUGAAAAACCAAAUAAUUUUUGGGACCUGAAGGAUUUUUCUGAAAAACAGCAGGCAGUUUAACUGUUCAGGACAAACAAGGAACUCAUGAACAACUAUCACUUAAAAAAAAAAAAAAAAAAACACAGCUGUGGAUCAUUCAGGAAACAACAGUAUUAAAAAUCAAGGGGGUGUAAACUUUUGAACCGGGUCAUUUUUAUAAAUUCAACUAUUAUUUUAUUUUGUGGACUAUAUGUAAACAUCUUUUAUGUGAAAUGUUUUAUUCUGGUGAGUACUAAAUUAACAAUAACAUGAAUUUUAUGUGAUGCCUCUUAUUUUGGUAAAAUAAUUAACAUUUUGCAGAUUCUGCAAGGGGGGCGUAAACUUUUGACCUCAACUGUAUCAGAGUUGUGUUUCUGUCAUUUUUGUUCUUGCAAUACUUUCUAUUGUAAUUUCAUCCCUGUGGUUUUCAUUUAAAUAUUUAUUUAUUUAUUUUCCACUGUUUUUUGUUUUGCUAUAACUCUUUUGAAUUUGUGCUGGUUAAAUGAAGUACAGGCCAAGUCUGGGCAUUGAAACGUGCAGCUUAAAUAAUUUAUUAUACCACCUGUUAACUUUGACACUAGCUGUAAACUGAUCUAGAGUACGUAGGAAAAUGUAUCGUGUUCAUUCAGAUCAGCAGAUGAGCAUCACAAGCACUUUAAUACAGGAAUUAUUAUAAUAAGAUGAAGGACAGAUCCUUGAUCCACCACUGCUCAACAGAACAGGUUAAGGUUCUGGAAAGUGACUUUAAACCUUAUUGUUUCUUUGUGUACAAAAAAAUUAAAAUAACAUCAACAUUAAAAAUAAAUUAAAUAUUUGGACGACAGAGAUAUUUUAAGUUUACUUUACGCACAGGACAAUUUUAGGAUUAUGUGCCAGUCAAAAAUUAGCCAGUUUGUUGACUGAUUUAGUAACAAUGUUGAUAAUAAACACAAAGAAAACUGAAGAGAUUGAUCCAAAAUGUUUGGUUGUACAUUUGCAUUAUGCAAACAAAUGCAAACUUUUACUGUCACUUUUACUUUCGUUAUACCUCAGAGGUUGAAAUGAUCUUUCAAGCUUUGUCCAAAAACUGUAAUGUGUUUAUAAUAUUGAGAACCUGUUAAUGAUUCUGUAUAAACCACAGACCUGUAAGCAGUGCAAAGUGUAGUUAAUGUACUUAUUACAAAUUACAUGAAGAAAACUGUAGUUUGUAUUAUGCAUUUUAGGUAAUGUAUUCUGACUAUAUUUAGAUUACUUUUGAAAUAACUCAUUUAACAUCUCAGGGGAUUUUAAGUAAAUUUUAGGUCAUAGGGGUUUGUCUGACAAAAAUAUUUGGGAAUCCCUGUGAUACACAAAAACCGUAAUGACAUUACACAUUCAGAUUUUUUAAAAAAGUACUCUGUCAUUGUUUAUGCUGUAUAGUCAUAUCUAUUCAUGCAUGAGAAAAAUUAUAUGUUUGUAUUGUAUGUCUAAAAUAAAAAGACUGCUGUCCUCUUCUGAUUUCCUGUGGCAUGUUGUUGUUGCUGCUGUUUUUAUUAUUAAAUUGCAUUUUAUGUAUUUUAUUUCAUUAAAUGUUUAAUAAAAAUAAUUCAAAUUGA